rfam:Gossypium arboreum cultivar AKA8401 contig_97216_1, whole genome shotgun sequence.
AAUUCGUGGUGUGGACAUUUCUGAAUCAACAUCUUAAAACACUCCCAUGCUUUAUGAAAGCUUUUCCCCUCAAAUUGUUUAAACAUAGAAAUUUUCCUUCUGAGCU